rnacentral:rRNA from 1 species
AUGAAACGUGAGUCGUUGACUCCCAGUGGGAGUGAUGGCAGAAAAAGAAAGGUUUGUUCGUACACAAAGGAGUUAGAGAAGAUGGUAAAAUUGCGAAAGGAAAUUUUAGCGCUAAGGGCUGCUCAGGCUAUUGUGGAUGCCCGACUUUUCAGCAUAGAGCACCCCCAUCAAGUUAUUUCAAGCAUUCCUUUUGAAGAAAAAGAGUUUGGUGAUUCAGGCUCUCUUGAUAAAGCAUUUCAAGCAAUCGGGAGCACCAAGGACAUAGCUCCAGAUUUGUCUACCAUUGUUGUCUCUCUGGCUUUGUUUGAUGAGGAUAGAAUGUUAUUUGCAUGCUCAGGCGUAGCUCUACCACCUGGGACAACUUCCCUAGAGCUAACAAGAUUUGUGACUUCAAGACGUUUGGUUGAGGAAUUUGAGAAGUACAGAAAUGUUGAUGAUAAAUUGAGGAUUGAGGUGUGCCUUCCAGAUUGUACACAUAACGAUGGGUUCUUGGGACUAUAUGAUGAUAAUAUUGCUAUUGUCACGUCCUUCAAUGAAUGCCCGCAUGCUGUCUGUCCUGUAGAUCUAGACCUCGAGGCACCUCCUCUUGAUACUAAGGCAAUAGUAGCUGCUCGUGCUUUCAAAUCGGGCCGUUUGAUGAUCACGUCUGGGCGUCUGACUGGAGACGGCCGUGCACACUGGAAGCAAAUCUCAGAGGCUGCAGUUGGAGGGCCAGUUGUCGAUCAUAAUGGGAAGCUUCUUGGGGUGAACCUUCGUAUCGAGGACCCUCGUCCCUGGUUCAUACCACUGAAGGACCUUCAUGGGCGCUUGAAGCAUUUUCAGAUACUCAAUACUAAUACAAAGGACUUCCAUGGAUAUUCCUUGCCUGAAGGUGUAUCAAGCAUAAUCCCUUCAGGAUUCUGGAGGAGAAUUAAGUGGAUAGAAUCCGUUGGCUAUCCCAUCCCGCCACCACUUGUGCUUGAAUUCAAUGGGGAACUGCUCGAGACAUUUGAGGAUGAAUUUGGUGAAUUGCGUGCAUGGAAAGAGUAUCCUUACCCUGUUUCAAACCCUGGUUCUACAGAGCAUGUUUGGGCACUACUUCCAAAAGAUGUUGUUACAAACAUAUCCCUAAGUGUUGUCAGACUUGCUUCAUUCGAUGGAAGUGUGAGGUGUUUUGCAUGCACGGGCUUGCUUAUAAAGUGGCCUGGAACUAAAGGCAUGCGCCCUGUCAUUCUCACUUCGGCCAGUUUGGUUAGAAGUUGUGGUGAUCACUUCAAGAUUGAUAAAAACUUAAGGAUUGACGUGUUUCUCCCACCGAGGCAACAUGCCAAGGGGACAUUGGUAUUCUACCAUUUAAAUACCAAUAUUGCCAUCAUCAGGCUUGAGCAGGCUAUCCGUGGCAUUCAUCCAGUUGAUAUUUGCUCUGAAGAGGAUUUAUAUAAACCGGUAGUUGCUGUAGCGCGUCAAAUUGAAGAAGGAUUUUUAAUGGCCUCAAAGGGCAAAGUGUGUCUUGACAAGUCGAGCCUGAUUGAUUCCAUGUUUCCAGUGUCCACUUGUAAAAUCAGUAAGGUAUUGUGA